AAUAAAAUUAUCACUAGGAGCGAGUAACUAAUACAACAAGGGCGAAAGUAACGAAUGAUAAUGGAUGUGUGAGACAGUUGUACGUUUUAAUAUUUGGUAGAAUGGAGCAAACUUUACCGGAUUUGCCAACUGUCAGUGCACUUAACUCUACUGUAGGCGAAACGUUAGAAUUAUAGGAUGUUUAGAGUUUUUUGAUUUAUACCCGAAGGCAACGAUAAAUCAUUACUAAUGAACCACGAUUCUGAGCAAAAUUCAGU